rnacentral:rRNA from 1 species
CCUACGGGAGGCAGCAGUGGGGAAUAUUGCACAAUGGGGGAAACCCUGCUGCAGCAACGCCGCGUGAAGGCAGACGGUUUUCGGAUUGUAAACUUCUGUUCUUAGUGACGCAUAAUGACGGUAGCUAAGGAGCAAGCCACGGCUAACUACGUGCCAGCAUCCGCGGUCAUACGUAGGUGGCAAGCGUUGUCCGGAAUUACUGGGUGUAAAGGGAGCGCUGGCGGGAAGCCAAGUCAGCUGUGAAAACUACGGGCUUAAAUUGUAGACUGCAGGUGAAACUGGUUUUUUUGAGGGAAGUAGAGGUUGGGCGAAGUCCGGGGGGAGCGGGGAAA